UCUGUUUCGCCUGAAAUCCAUCUUUAGUCUAGGCCUGCUUCUUCAUUCUUGUUAACUAUGGCGAUUUGGUGGUUCAAGAAAAAAAGAAUUGUGCAUCCAAUUCAGGAAGAUUUCUUCAGUGAAGAGGACUGGAACAGAUUCCGAAGAAUGAUUCUGAGGCGCACCAUUAACAACAGAAGACGUACCACGUCGCGCAGAAUCAAAGUCGAGCCGAAACUCUCCAGAUUUUGGCUUGAAUCCCGGGGACGAUUGCCACCAGUCCAACCUGUGCCGGUUGUUGAGUACAAAUUCUAUUCAAGGGCAGUGUGUUCAGGCCUGAGCUCCAUUUUUUGUGUAUGCUAUUCAUCUAUUGGAGGUUAAUUGCACACACUCUGCACCUUUUGAACCCCAAGUCCAUGUGAUGGUUAAGUGCUGCGAUUGUCAUAUUUGUUGUCAUGGGUGAAGUGGAAUCUGCCCUGCUUUAUAUGCCCGCUACAGUCUGAAGAAGGCUUUUGUUUUAGAUUGGAAGUUUGGUGCCUUGUGUGGGAUAUCUAGUUGAUAAUAUGGAUCAAGAAAUUGGCGAGGGACAAAGAAAACAAUAACAAGGGCAGGUGAAGGCUCCUCUCGCCAUUGCUGAGAAUGGGUGUACGUGAGUUGGUCUUUUGGACCCUCACUAGACUGAAAUAGGGUGAGUCCUUGUUUUAGUCCGAAAGGGAUGCAUGCUGAAACAGCCAUCUGCAUGAGACUACGGUCUAACCAAAAACGAAUAAGGCAACUUUCUUACAUGCAUUGCUGACAGGCUAAACUAGGAAAAUACACCAUAUAUUUUUCAGCACCCAUAGAUUGCAGUUCCCAGGUGCUAGUGGGUGAGCCAGUUAGAUUCUCACUGGUAUCUCUACUUACUUGAGGACCAUAUUUCUACUACCAAUAACUUGGUUGCUUCUACUGAAGGUCGACGACGGAGGUCUUUGAAAGACUUCUUCAAAAUAUCCAUUCUUCAAUCGCAGCUGGGGUGGGUGAUACCUAAUUCAUGUCAUAUUUUAUACCUGAGCAGUGCUCUUUCAUUGGACUUGAUCCUCUUUUGCCCCUAACACAUUCCGAAGAUAGAAAACUAGCUACAUUUCAGUUGAUUAGGUCUGAACCAAUGCCCUUCUUUGGAAUAUCUGGGAUUCUGAAAAGUUUUGAAGGAACUAUCACUGAUUCAGUUCGUCUUUUCAAACCAAAAUAUGAAGGCUUGUUUCAAAUUCUUCAAUCUUUAAUUCAACUCUUUAAGGUGACUUAGUGUGACUCAGUGGUAAGGUGACUUGUCUAUGAUCAAAAGUGAUGACUUGUCAUACUGAUCCUACCUAGAGAAAGAAAAACAUAGUUUUAACUCCGCCUGUGUUUGGAUUCUUCCAUUUCGCAGCCGGUCCCAAGCCCGGAGAAAGGAGGAGGGUUAAUUGUCUUUCAGAAGUCGGAUCUUCAUAAAUAUGAACCAUAUAAAACCUGUAAUAGUUGUGGUUCUCUGUCUCAAAUUCUCUCUUUCUUGUAGGUAACAGUUGUGGUAAUAGUUCUGAUUCUCUGUCUCGCUCUCUUGUCAGCAUAUCCACUUCUCUUCCUUUUCCUGUCAAAAUGUCCUUUUAUCCUAAAAUCUGUUCAAAAUGUCCUUUUAUCCUAAAAUCUGUUCAAAAUGAUAACAUUUUCUUGGCUUCUGCUUGUGUACAAUAAUGUUUGCUAUAUCUGCUCAUGACAUGUUUUUGAUUGCCUUUUCUAUUGAAUGCAUGUUAGGGUUGUUCAAUUCUGGAAACAGAAGAAACUUUCAACUUCAGUAGAGUUUUGAGAGUUGUGACUUUGAAGAAACCUUUGUUUCUUUUAAUUAUUGGCAAAGUCAUUUGAUAUAGAAUAUGACAUGAUGACUCUGUUUCAAAUAUCAAGUUGUCCACAUAAGAAGAAGAAUAUCCCCCAAACAUUAUUAUGAAAAAACUCAUCACACAGCGAAUUUCUUUUAUACUGGUGAAUACUUGGAGCAUGCUUUAUGUAUAAAAAUAUAAAUCCUGUACCAACUGUUUUGGCUGAGAAUUUCUUGUGCAGGUAUAUUUUUCUUCCACCAGCUCCUCUAAUUGACUAGUUUUGUAUACAGGUAAAUUUUGACUUGGGAGUACCUUGGGAGAUAGACAUGUCCAUAUCUUUUCUGAACGUAUGCUUCAUAUUCUUAUAUAUGUCACCGUGGAUUUUGGAAGUAAACUUAUGAUGUUGCUUAAUUGUGCUAAAGAUAUCCUAGUUGAUACCUUCCUUCUUUCCCUCAUUACGACAAUUUUACUUGGAAACAAUCUUGUUCUGCUUGUGUAUUGGCUUUCAAUUUCAUGGCUUGCUUGCGACAUGUUUGGUUUCAUAUUGUUCUUUGAAUGAGAUCUUUUUGAAGUGAAAAUAUAAGCAGAUUUGUGCUAUAACAUAUUUCUUGGAGUAAAUUUGAAUGAUUUUGAGUGAUGGAGAGCCUGAACUAAAAAUACAAGUAAAAAAUCCGCAGCUUUGGAGGGUCAAUCUAUUUUUGGGCUCAAAACCAAUCACUUGAAUUUGGCUGCAACUCCGAGAAAUCUUUUCAUUCCUUUUCUCUUCUAAUUUGUAUUCCUUAUCGCUAACUGCAUGAAGCAGCAAGUAUUGAUCACUAGUUAUCGCAUUCUGUGUAUCAGGAGUAAUGAGUUUUUUUUGUUCGGAGAUCAUCUCUGCUUUCUCAAGGAAUCCUCCGAUUUGUGUUUCAAGAUUUAAACAGAGUGUCGUUUUUAUAUUUUUUCUUAUCUCCUUUUUUGUCAUGCUAAUUUUUCUGGACCUGUUCCUUUCAGUCAGGGAUGCAACAACCUGAAUCUGAAAAAUAAUCAUGUGGCAGUUAUACUUUGAAUGCAGAGCCUUGAAACAACUAGUUGAAGAAACUGGAAACCACAGCAGCAGAGAUGUUAAUGAUCAAAUAGCAGAACUACAAAAACACUGAUGAGUAAAAAACAGUUGAAGAUUAUAAUGUAAAUGCUAAAAGAUAUGGUCUUAAUGGAACACUUGAAGAUUAAUAUGAAUAAGCUUAAACCUGGUGAAAAUCUAUGAGUAACCUCUAGUUUUCUUAGCAUAGUGUUAAGGGAAUAGUAAGAGGAUUCAUGAGUAAGUCUUUUACAUGCAAGGACUACAUAUUGUUUUUUACACACAACAGCAUGUUUUCCUUAUAUAUGCUGGUAAAUACUAUGGCUACUUCAUUAUCACUUUUCUAGCAUAACUUCUCGCUUUUCUGGAAGUCAUAUUGGAUAUCGACACUUCAAGGUAUCAUUACUUCUUUUAUCAAUAAACCACCGGUUCUGCAAAUGGAGAAUUCUCAAGGCUUCAAGAGAAGUUUACCACACUAAAAAGUAACCUUUUGGAAUGGAACUACUACUGCCAAAAUAAGUUCUUCAUUCCAGCAAAAAUGAUUUUAUUUCUCCUGUUUUUUCGCCCAUAGCAUGAACGUUUUCCUUGAUCCAUGGACUAAAUAAUGCAAGAUUAACAUAGAAUACUACCACUACCCUUCAUUGCACAAGAAGAUUUCUUUACUUCCAACAUUAUGUCAACUGCCAAUAACUCUUGCUUUAUCUGAAAGGUUUGGGUAAAUCUGACCUUGGAAUUUUCUGUUUUGACGUUUGCAGUUACUUUCCUCAAUGGGGUAAUGCAAGUCAUUAUCUUGGAGGAUGAGCAUAGGAGUAUAUUUAGUUGCAAAAAAUUACAUUCGCCUAUUCUGUUAUUCUAUAUUUUGCACUUGUAGCACACUUACUAGCAAGUACUGUGAAGUCUUCCAACUGGCUUAGAUCUAAUGUCGAUGCCAUCCAAAAAGAAUCAAAUAAAUUCUAUUUGUGUGCGUCUGUUGGCAUAUCCAUAUAAUCCACGUCAACUCUUUUAAUAAUUCAUUCCCCCCACCCCCUCCCCCCUCCCACUAUUUUCCUCUUUUUGUUUGAAAAUUUUCUAUAUGAUGAGACGAAUUGAUUUGUUUUUUAAAUAUGGCUUUGAAAAAUGUAAGUCUAUGACACCAUAUAUAUAAUAAUUGAAGUACUCAACCAAUUUGCACUUUUUUUUUUCUUUUUUUUUUUGUGUGUGUGAUUGGUAUCUUCUUUGAGUAACUUUUAGCAACUUAUAUUUUACUCCUUGUUUGUUUCUAUAUAUAGUUUCACUUUUACUUCCCAUAUAGUCUAUCACUUACAAAAAUUCUUCCAUCUCCAUCACACACUCCAUAUAUAUAUAUAUAACACUUAUUUCUUCUUUUCAUUGUCCUGAAAUGGCUUGUUGUGCCAUAUAUAUAUAUUUUUUUCAAUAUUUUUUUCUAGUGUUGAACUUAAAAAACAUUUGUUGAAGGUGCACCACAAGUAUCAUGUUACUUCGUAUUUGGAGACUCGUUAUUUGUUAAUGGAAAUAACAAUGACCUUAACACAACGGCAAAGGCUAAUUACGUACCUUAUGGGGUGGACUUCCCGGAUGGCCGUCCGACCUGCUGUUUCACCUACGGCCUUAACAUGGCUGACUUCCUAGGUCUUAAGUCUUAACUACUUAAUUAGCUUGUUUGUGAAACUUAAUUCUCAUUUCUAUAUAUGGAUUUCCCUAAUUAGUGUUUCUUUACUAGAUCGAUCGAUACUUAAUGUUUGAAGAGAAACAAAUAUGGAGUAUAUUCGUUUGUUAAGUGUUCCACAUUUGUACUUGAGAGAAUGGACAAUGAUUCGUAAUUAAUAAUGUGAUCUUGAACAUACAUUCCUCAUUCCACAGUGAGCUUUUGAGUUGAGUUAAAUCUAAGGUUUAGUUACUUAACAUGGUGUAUAUACAUCAGAGCCAAAUGUAUAUAUCUUUGUUAUCGUACAUUUGAGUCACAUGUUAUAUUGUUCAGAUACCAGAUCUAUGUUCAGUGAGGUUACCAUUGAUGUCUCACACAUUGUGAAUGAGGAGAAUGUUGUCUCUUCAUAUAAAGCUAGUCGAUCUUGGGCAUACGUACCUGAUGACCUAGAUUUUCUGGAUUGACUUGAUUUUUCUCCAUGUUUGCAGCGGAACUCCUGGGAUUUUUGAUCUCUACAUUCCUCCUUUGCAAAGACAGAAGGUAGUGAGAUCUUGGAUGGUGUAAAAUUAUGCAUCUGGUUCAGCUGGAAUUUGCUGUAACAGCGGAAGUCAUCUUGGUGAUCGCAUUUACUUGGGUAGGCAUUUGGAGAAUCAUCAAUCAACAGUUUCUCGUAAUAGCUAAUUUAGUGGGGAAUAAAAUUUCAGCUGAAAAGCACUUGAAUAAGUGCCUAUUCAUAGUUGGAAUAGGGAGCAAUGAUUACAUCAACAAUUACUUGUUGCCUGAAAUAUAUCCCUCAAGUCAUUUAUAUGCACCAAGCCAAUACGCAACUGCCUUGAUUGAUCAAUAUUCACGACAUCUAAGACUUUAUAUGAAGAUGGAGCAAGGAAAGUUGCCUUAUUUGGACUGGGGCCAAAUAGGCUGCAUUCCAGCAGAGCUACAAGUAGAUGUGUGAGCAACAAAUAAUGCAAUUCAACUAUUCAACAGCAAGCUAUAUUCUCUUGUUGAUGAUCUUAGUACCAACUUUCCAGAUGCAAACUUCACAUUUAUAAGCAUAUACAUCAUUUCAUCAUUCCUCGGUGUGUACUCAAACAUCAUUCUUUGACUUCUAACAUAAUUGGAUUGGCUAUUUUUGUUAGUCUUAUUUCAGAGUCCAUUAGUGUGUUGAAUCGUCCAUGCUGUAAUGUUUUGACAACGAUGUCUGAAGGACAAUGUGUUCCUGGAGAAACACCAUGCUUGCCCAGGAGGAUUUAUCCUAUGGAUAUCCAUCAUUUGGUCAAUAAGUUUUACUUGUGAUCUUCCCAUUUAGAAAGUUUUCGGAUUUUGUUUCUUAGAUUGAUUUAUUAAUUGUACACCUAUAACAUAUAUUCGAUGAGGGAAUUAUAGUCUCUACAUUUUA